GAUCAUAGGGAAAAUGGGUCCUAUUCCUCAUUCUUACUCAGCAGUUCACCUUCCUUCGUAUUUAUUGAAUAAUGCUGAUAAAUACAAAUAUCUCUUGCCUGGUAACUGCCAGCGAGAACGUGGCUGAACUGCUGAAGUUUCUUGGAAAAUAAGGCACAUUUUGUAAACGUUGGAGGUGCAUAUUGUUCUUCACACCAGAAAGGGCCG
rnacentral:misc_RNA from 1 species